rnacentral:rRNA from 1 species
GACGAACGCUGGCGGCGUGCUUAACACAUGCAAGUCGAACGGAAAGGCUCCAGCUUGCUGGAGUACUCGAGUGGCGAACGGGUGAGUAACACGUGGGUAAUCUGCCCUGCACUCUGGGAUAAGCCUGGGAAACUGGGUCUAAUACUGGAUAUGACCUUUCUCCUUAUGGGGUUUGGUGGAAAGUUUUUCGGUGUAGGAUGAGCCCGCGGCCUAUCAGCUUGUUGGUGGGGUGAUGGCAUACCAAGGCGACGACGGGUAGCCGGCCUGAGAGGGUGAGCGGCCACGUUGGGACUGAGCUACGGCCCAGACUCCUACGGGAGGCAGCAGUGGGGAAUAUUGCACAAUGGGCGGAAGCCUGAUGCAGCGCCGCCGCGUGAGGGAUGACGGCCUUCGGGUUGUAAACCUCUUUCAGCAGGGACGAAGCGUAAGUGACGGUACCUGCAGAAGAAGCACCGGCUAACUACGUG